UAUUAAAGAUUAAAUUACUAAAUAACCUUCAGCUUUCAACCUUAAGGAAAGGUUUUUGGGCUCUUUAACUAUUAUUCAUUAUGAAAAUGGAAGUUGAUUAAGGUUAAAAGAAUAUCUUUAAAACUGAACUAUACAAAUAAAUCACUGGCCACUAUUAAUUAAGGGAAAGUACAUUUAAAAUUUUGAAACGAUACACACUUUUUGGACUCCUGAGUAUCUAUCAUAUAUCAUCAACAUAAUUGAAGAGUUUUAUUUUGCUUUGUGUGCCACCUCUAACUUUUCUUGGUAUACCAAUCUGUUUUUUAAUAUGAAAAAAACCCUUAGUUUUAAAGCAACAUUUAAUGAAAAAAAAAAAAGAUUCCAGUUUUCGAUCACCUUUAUUUAUUUCCAAAAAUGCCCUUUCCCUCAUAAACGCCCAUAGAAAAUAAAAAUGGUGUUUGCUUUGUGGUAUGCCCACUUAAAUAGAAGUUAAGCAGAACUACAAGAAAAUAUACUAGGAAAAAAUAUACUAAGCAAUACAUAGGGAGGACAUUUGUACACCAAUGCUUUAUACGGUAACUAUUACACUUCCCCUUUAAAGGCAUGUUAUAAAUAUGCAAAUUCUCCCUACCAAACAAAUUUCCAAAUGCAACUAGCAGCCAAAAUGAGUAACUAAAAUAGGUGCCAAUAACUGGCACUUAUGUUACAUAUAUUGAGUAAUGAAACGUCUACAAGAAAACAACUAAGCUCACCAACCAAGAGAACACCAAGAACCCCUCACUAAAAUACGUGCAUCACAGAGCAGAUCUACUCCAUGUUAUGUAUGUCCUCCUAUAUGAUUGAUGCACAGCAUCCGUCUUUGCACUGUUUCAUAGGAAUUAUAUUAAAGUCUCCCUCAAACAAAGUUUGUCCCCUUCGGGGCAGCAAUAGAGAAGUGGUUUGCCAUUCGAGUUCAAAGCCAGUUAGAUGCUGCCAUCUAGUGGAAUAGCAAUUAUUAACAAUCACAAGGUGCCUACAAGUGGAAAGAAAGAUAGGUAUCCCUGAAAAAUUUUAACACACACAUACACUUCAAAAUACACAAAAUUAAUUUCUGCUCAGUAGACCACAAAGAACAAAUAUUCCUGCAUCACAUGCAAGAAGCUUGCAUUCCUCUAGGAAAUUGAGGACAUUACUAUUUUUUUUAACUAGUUCUCCACAACUAGAACUUGGGGCCUUACAUAAAGAGGGGAUUUCAAAGAAUUAAAGCCAAUCUCAGAAACACCUAAGCCCCUUAACAGAUUAGCACUCCUAGUAGAGCUACACCUGAAGGAAAUUUUAGAAAUCAGAAACUACAAAUGAGUCUUACAAAUCUCAGUUAUCAUUAUUUCCUGCUCUAUGUAAGUACCUUAAAUAGUCUGAGAAACUAUUCCAGCAAAGAGAUUUAAUCAUGUCAUUAUAUCUACAUAUCAACAGCGAGUUAUAUAAAAUUAUUUUAAAGUUAAUAGCUAUGAAUGGAGAUACCGUAUUUUACUAGGCUUUUCAACAAAAUAAAUCAAUAAAUUGGAAACAGGCCUCUGAAACAAGCAACUGCAAUAAUUACUUGAAAAUGCCUGCUAAAUGCCAAUUUAACCUAUUUUUCAUUCAGAAGUCUAUGUCACAGAUCUGUCUCUCAGAAUAAUGUACAAUAUAUGUGAAUAACUGAAAGGCAUGAAAGGAUUCAGAAAUAUGACUCAUUUUAAAUUACUUAAUAAUGAAGAAAUACAUCAAAACUUUCUUGAAUAACCCAAAUGAUAGAUUCCAGAUACCUAGGAAUGUCCUCCCAGAAGGCAGCAAGAGCCACUUUGUCAUAAUUUCUGAAACAAUAUAUUUAUUUUUGGUAUCUGCUCUCCAUAUACAAUAUCUUUUUAUGUAAUAAUGCCUUUGAAUUCACAGAUUGAUUGCUGAUUGUGCACCUAUUCGAAGGAAUUAUUUCAGAAUAAUUCAUGUAGAAAGUGAGAAAUGUAUGAAUGAUGAAGAAGACCAAAUUAAUUGCCUAUGCUCAGUAGAAUGAAAGUAUAUCAUAAAUCAGGAAGCAGGUGAUAAUAUAUCUGGGGCAGAAAGGAAGGAGGACCUGCUCUGAUUUUUUGUUCUCCAUAGAAUAAUCCUGAGAUGAAAUGGAAUCUUGCCUGCUGCAGGAAUAAUUUAAUGUCAGUAGUGUAAACAAUUCUAAGAAAUUGUGCUUUUGAAACUUUUGCUGCUUGGCUGAAAUCUGAAUUUCGGUUCUAAAAUUAUUUCUUCUGUCAAAGCUCAUUCGUGCUGACAUCAGGGCUGAAAAACUGUAAACAUGGUACUGCAUUUGCUACUGUCCACAGUUAAUCCCAUUUAAACACAUAAAUGGCUUUCAUAAUCAGCUAUGCGGGACUUUCACUUAAUUAAAAUCCUACACAGAAUCCUACAGAGAAGACAAAGAGUCUUUUCUACAGACUCAAAUGUGAUUAAAUUCAAAUCCUGAUUAAAAUAUUGUAGAAUUAGUUUCAGAGGCUAAUUAUUUAUUUAUAUGUACAUCCACCAUAAACAUUCUGACUCUGGAUGGCUUACAAUAUCCAAAAUAACUAAAAACAAACACUGCAAUUUAAAUGAAAGCACCUUUAAUUGGCAAGUAAUUGGCAAGCAGGAACGUGCAAGUGUUAAACCACCUCUGGACAGGAUUCCCAUCAUCCCAGUCCUGAUGCCAAAGGAAACCUCCAGGCUGAUAAUGUUUUAGUAACACCAACGGAUUUGGCCCCUUACAUGGGGCGGGGGUCAUUCCAGCGGGCAGGCCCCUCCACAAAGAGAGCCAAUUACUCUCUUUGAAUUUCAAUUAUCUCUGUAGAAUGCAAAGAAUUCUUAUUUCAUGGGAAUCAAAUUAUUCAUUAUACAUUUUAUACACAACUAUAUUGAUUCACUGAAUGCUUGCAUAUUUUUUAAAAAAUGCUUAAUUCCUUUGAUGUCUCCUGUACUAUAUGAGCCAUGUGGCCGGGGGGGGGGGGGGUGCAGAGCUGAAACUAAAUUUUCUAAAAAAUACUCUCUCAAGAACAACACCCAGAUAAUUACAGAAGCAUUUCAACCAAUACAUCGUCAGAACUGAAAUCUAAUGAAACUGGAGGAGGGAGCACCUCAUUGAUUGGCAGCUUUCUUGUUGAUGUCACAAUGCAUCCGACUAACCAACUAUAAGCUAAUUUCAGAGAAGUAGCACAGAAAAAUUAGCAAAACUGGAAAGUAGAAAGCAAGCAGAGAGGAUUCAACCAUGUCUGCCUCAACACAAAAUAAACAGUCACAAGCUAAACCAUCUAUUUAAGAACUUCACCUGUUCAAGAACGUUUGUCAAGAAAUGGAUUACUAAGAAUCAAGAGGAACCUGACAGCAAAUAAUCAAGCAACAAGCUGUAGAAAGAUCAAAUUAGAAUAUAACCAAUAUCCCAGCAUUUUUUCAACAUCUCCUAUGAAUACUCUUUCACCACUAUUUUAAACAACAAAUCUAACUAAAAAAUCCCAGAGGGAAUAAUGUAUUCUCUGAAAAGGUAGACAUGCCUUAACAUUACCUUGUUCCUUUUUAUUCAGAAUUAAAUUUUGCUAGAUUUGUAGGACCAAGCAAUGGAUAUGACUAUAAUCUUAAAAACUGUAACCUUACAAUUUAGAAAUUAAUUGAACAGGUAUUUUUGAAAUUACAACUAACAUGCAUACAGUAUUGAUUUAAAAGCCAGGCAAACCUACCAGCUAUUUAAAGUCUAGAUUGUUUAACCAUUUUAUUUGACUUAACUUCUGAUGAAAUUAUAAAUCAUAAUGGAAUAGAUUGGUUCGUAUGUGUCCAUAAAUGUUAAAUGAUCAACUUUUCAAUUACAUCUUCUCUACACUCACCUUUUUUGUCUAAAAUGCGCUCCCUACUAAAGUAAGGAAACUAACCUUGUUGUCUAUUUAAAAGGCUUUAAAAACAUAUUUUAACAGCGUUUUAAUUGUUGAUGGCUUCAUUUUCAUGCUUUAAUUGCUACUUUAAUACUCCAUAAAAAUAUUUUAUGUGUUUUAAAGUAUCUGCUUUGUUUCAUGAUAAAAGUUGAGAGAUAUAUUAUGUACAGCUACGUUAGUCAAUAGCCUAACAGUUAGAAAUAAAUAAAAAGGCAUACAUUGACAAGAGUUUCUUUCUUUUCUUCAAGGAAAAGGCUAUAUAUUAAUAUUUAGAAGGAAAGAAAAUGAUUGCUUAACACAAAUCUCAAAUUUUUAAAACAAGUUAACCGGUAGCUGAAAAUAUUUUAUUGGUAGAAUUUUUAAUGUGUUCAUAUUUUAAAUGCCCACUCUGUAGAAUAACAAUCAAAUUACAAAUACUUGUUUCAGUCAUUUUGGCUUAAGUUUAAUAGAAAUAGCUAAAUUUUAAACUGGGUAAAAUUUGAGAAAUAGUAAAUAAAUUGAUACCCCAAAGAGCUGUGAGAUUACAGAAUACUGAAGAACAUACACAUUUGUGAAUGCAACAAGUAAAACUUGCACUUUAUAUUGGCAUAUCUAUAGCAUUCAAAAUAGAAAAAAUAUAUUAUACUCUUAUUUAUUUUGUACUAUACAAGAAACCAAAUAAUAUUUUUCCCCACAACAACUUUA